rnacentral:rRNA from 1 species
AUGUAUCUCGACUUCCUAAAGGACUGGGAUGCAGGGUACAGUUGGGGGUCCGCCGGCCUCGCAUAUCUAUACCAUUCGAGGACGGAAGACACGUCCGGUAUGUGUGGAUGUGUCUGGGGCCUCUCCUUUGGAUGUGAGAGCGAAUACCGGUGGGGCGUCCGGAGAAGUUGCGCCAGCGUGAAUGGACUGACUAUGGUGAAGAUGACGAAGAUGAUCGAUACCCGACCGUCGCAUACGCUUAGGAUCGUGGUGGGUGUCUACACGGGCACAUCCAAGGCUUUGUACAAGGUCUUCACCAACGAGCUUGAUGCUCUGACGGCUUUCAAGGUUAAUUGGCGGCCGUAUAAUGAACGAGCGUGGGGGUUCGAGCUGAACGUGAUGUGCAGGCAAGACCGGCUUCUCUGGCGGUGCAUCGUGCCCAUGAUUUAUGUCUAUGCCGUCGAGUACCACUUGCCACAGUGUGUUGCCACGCACUUUGGUAGGGUGCAACGUACACCACCAGGCGGUCUCAUUGAUACCGGUGGCUCUGACCUACAUUUGAGUGCAUUCUUCUCCAUUUCCGUGUUUUUGUUUUGA